UAGUGUGACACUGGUCCCAACCCCGCACCCUGACGGACAGUACAUGGGAGAGCGCUGUGUACAUGCGGCUGGCACCGUGUGCACGUGGGGCUAGGGGGUCGUAUAAAGAGAAGUUCUUCAACUUUCUGAUGCACUUUGGGUAUCAAUUCUUCAUCGUUUUCAAAAUCUCUGCUUGUUGUCAGUGAAUGGACUGAGCUACAACUUUUCACAGCCGGAAAAUUGUUACUUUUAUAUUCAGUCCAGGUGGCACACAUCUCUAUCCUGUGCUUGUGGUUUGUUGCAGUGUAUCAGUGCAGGCAGAAGGUAUCAGUCAGGGCUGUUCUGACGGGUCCCAUACGAUCAUAGUGUGAGAGAAGAAGCAGCGUUCAGUAUGUUCGGUCUGAAAUUGACUGACAAAAUGACCACUAGAUGGCGCUCUGUACUGGCCACAUAUACAAUAGGCCAUCUGAUUGCUCCUUACUCUAUUUAUCAGCUGGCUGCCCAGAUCUGGUAUUGUAAUGCCUGGGAUGACGGAUAGAGGGCGCUGUGCUUGCAGUUUUUUUUUUUUUUUUACACUGUAUCGGGGAGGGCAGAACACCCAGUCUUGGGGACGGGCAUUUUAUUGUCUGUUCAAUUCUGGUAUUCUUGAAGGAUUGAAAUGUAUUCACUUGUUAGAAAACUUUUUGAUGUCAUGGGCAAGAUAUAGAGCAGUGGUCUGCAGCCUGUGGCUUUCCAGAGUUAGUACACCUGUAGUUUCCAGCGUAAAGGAUAUGGGGGUUGUAGUAUCAGCCAGAGGGUGCAGUCCUAGAGAAUAAAUUAUGGCUGAGGGGAAGGACUCCAUAGCACUGUACAGGUUUCUGGUUAUAAGGAUCUAUUGGGUUUGAAAGACUGGCUAAGAGACCGGUGAGCACCCCGUAGGCUGACUGGGAGACAGCUAAGCACCCCAAAGACUGACUGAGAGACCAGUGAGCAUCCAAUAGACUGACUGGGAGACCUGUGAGCACCUCACAAAUUGACUGGGAGAGAGGUGAACACCCCUUUGACUGGAUGAGAUAGUGGUGAACAUCCCAUGGAAUGGCUGAGAGAGUGGUGAACAUCCAAUGGAACAUCAGAGAGAGGUGAACAUCCCAUGGAGUGUCUGAGAAAGUGGUGAACAUCCCAUGGAGUGUCUGAGAAAGUGGUGGACAUCCCAUGGAGUGUCUGAGAAAGUGGUGGACAUCCCAUGGAGUGUCUGAGAAAGUGGUGGACAUCCCAUGGAGUGUCUGAGAAAGUGGUGGACAUCCCAUGGAGUGUCUGAGAAAGUGGUGGACAUCCCAUGGAGUGUCUGAGAAAGUGGUGGACAUCCCAUGGAGUGUCUGAGAAAGUGGUGGACAUCCCAUGGAGUGUCUGAGAAAGUGGUGAACAUCCCAUGGAGUGUCUGAGAAAGUGGUGGACAUCCCAUGGAGUGUCUGAGAAAGUGGUGAACAUCCCAUGGAGUGUCUGAGAAAGUGGUGAACAUCCCAUGGAGUGUCUGAUAGAGAGGUGAACAUCCCAUGGAGUGGCUGAGAAAGUGGUGAACAUCCCAUGGAACAUCAGACAG